rnacentral:rRNA from 1 species
UACGUAGGGGGCUAGCGUUGUCCGGGUUUAUUGGGCGUAAAGAGCGUGUAGGCGGCCAUGUAGGUCCGGUGUGAAAACUCGAGGCUUAACCUCGAGAUGUCAUCGGAAACCAUUUGGCUAGAGUCCGGAAGAGGAGAGUGGAAUUCCUGGUGUAGCGGUGAAAUGCGCAGAUAUCAGGAAGAACACCAAUGGCGAAAGCAGCUCUCUGGGACGGUACUGACGCUGAGACGCGAAAGCGUGGGGAGCGAACAGG